rnacentral:rRNA from 1 species
CAACCUCCCCAUAACUGGUGAAUAGCCUUUCGAAAGAGAGAUUAAUACACCGUAACAUAAUGAAGUGGCAUCACUUUAUUAUUAUAGCUCCGGCGGUUUUGGAUGGGCGUGCGGCUGAUUAGGUAGUUGGCAGGGUAACGGCCUACCAAGCCUACGAUCAGUAACUGGUGUGAGAGCACGACCAGUCACACGGGCACUGAGACACGGGCCCGACUCCUACGGGAGGCAGCAGUAAGGAAUAUUGGUCAAUGGACGAAAGUCUGAACCAGCCAUGCCGCGUGAAGGAUGAAGGCCCUCUGGGUUGUAAACUUCUUUUAUCUGGGACGAAAAAAGGGCUUUCUAGCUCACUUGACGGUACCAGAGGAAUAAGCACCGGCUAACUCCGUGCCAGCAGCCGCGGUAAUACGGAGGGUGCAAGCGUUAUCCGGAUUUACUGGGUUUAAAGGGUGCGUAGGUGGGCAGGUAAGUCAGUGGUGAAAUCUCCGAGCUUAACUCGGAAACUGCCAUUGAUACUAUCUGUCUUGAAUAUCCUGGAGGUAAGUGGAAUAUGUCAUGUAGCGGUGAAAUGCUUAGAUAUGACAUAGAACACCCAUUGCGAAGGCAGCUUACUACGGGAUUAUUGACACUGAGGCACGAAAGCGUGGGGAUCAAACAGGAUUAGAUACCCUGGUAGUCCACGCCCUAAACGAUGGAUACUCGACAUCAGCGAUACACUGUUGGUGUCUGAGCGAAAGCAUUAA